GGGAAGGUGGCUCAGUGGUAGAAUGCUUACCUUCCACGUAUGAGGCCCUAGGUUCGAUUCCUCAGUCCCA
rnacentral:tRNA from 1 species